rnacentral:lncRNA from 1 species
AUUAGGCAUGCUAGUAGGAUUCAUUGUUACAUAUUCUUAAACACACACACAACAUAAAUUUGUCAGUGUCAUUCCCCAGUACCUCCCCUUUCCCUCCCCCACAAUCUACUUCUUUUUCAUACAGUGUCCACCUUUUCCAUUCUGAGUUUGACUUAUUUUGCUUAACAUCAUGGUCUCCAAUUCCAUCCAUUUUCCUGCAAAUGACAUAAUUUAUUUCUCUUUAUGGCUGAAAAAAAAUGCCAUUUUGUGUAUAUCCCCCCUCCUUUUUUAAAAAAAAUCUAUUCAUACCUAAGCUGGUUCCAUUGUGAAUUGUGCUGCUAUAAACAUGGAUAUGCAUGUAUCACUGCAGUAUGAUGAUUUAAAAUUUUCAGUUUAAGUACUGAGGAGUGGUACAGCUGGGUGGAUAUCCACACUGAUAUCCACUCUGAUUUCCUUAGUAUUUCCUUAGUGGUUGUACUGAUUUCCUUAGUAUUUCCUUAGUGGUUGUACUGACGGACAGUCCCACCAGCAGUGUCAGGGUACUUCUUCUCCUUUUUCUUUUUGUGGUGCUGGGGAUUGAACCCAGGGCUUUGUGCAUGCGAGGCAAGCACUCUACCAACUGAGCUAUACCUCCAGCUAUUAUUUGUUUUUCUGAUGACUCCCUUUCUGACUAAUGUGAGAUGAAAUCUCUGUGUAGUUUUGAUUUGCAUUUUGAUUGCUAAUGAUGUUGAACGUUUUUUCACGUAUUUGUUGUCCACUUAUGUCUCUUCUUUGGAGAAGUGUCUGUUUAAUUCAUUUGCCCAUUUAGUAGUUGAAUUAUUUGAUAUUUUGCUGUGAAGUUUUUUGAGUUCUCUAUAUAUUCCAGAUAUUCAUCGGUCAGAGAGUAGCAAGAUUCUCCCCAGUCUAUAGGCUCCCUCUUCACAUUCUCAAUUAUUCCUUGCGGUGCAGAAAGUUUUUAAUCUGAUGCUGACCCAUUUGUUACCUCUUGACAUUCUUUCCCGAGCUUUAGAGGUCCUAUUGAGAAAGUCCUUGCCUGGGCCUACUUGCUGGAGUGGUGACCCUACAUUUUCCUCUCAGAGUUGCAUAGUUUCUGGCCUAAUUCUCAGGCCUUUGGCUCAUUUUGAGUUGCUGUUUGUUCACGGUGAGAUGAGGGCGACUGGACGUUUUCUAUCCAUGCAUGCAUUCAUGGCCCCUGGACUUGGUUCCCUCGUUGGCUAUUUCUACUGCAAUGAAGGUAGGAUUUCAGAGCCUCCUCAGUAAGCUGAUUUAAGAUGGUUGGGAUUCAUGCCCAUUGGUGGGAUGCCUGGAUACAAGGUAGACCUACGGCCAGUGUUAUGGAACCGGCACAGUGUUUUCCUAAGAGCUCUAUUUACUUUCCCUCUCACCUGCAGUCUGUAAGGCCCUUUCUCUCCACCUUGACCAACACUGGUUGUCUCUUGUCUUUUUGAGAACACCCACUCUACCUGGGGUGAGAGGAGAUCUUAUUGUGGUUUAGAUUUGCAUCACCCUGGUGAUUAGUGACCUUGAACAAUCUUGUGUUCUUCUGAGAAAUUCAUACAUAAGUCUGAUGCCAUUUUUAAAUCGGGGAAUUUGUUUAUCUUGGCUUGUUGUUUUGUUUUGUUUUUACAAUUGAAGUUUUAGUUUAUUUUCCUAUUGAAUUUUGUCUUACACUUUUCUUUUGUUUGAUUGUAUAUGUUUUUGUUCUACAGUGUUUGGGAUAGAAAACAGUUUUGCAAAUGCUAGGAAAUUACUCCAUCAGUAAGAUAUACCCAUAGCCCUUGCUAUUGAAUUUUUAUGUCUUUUACGUACAAUCUGAAUAUGAAAUUUUUGUGAAUAGUUUUCAACUAUUCUGUAAGUUGUCUCUUCACCUUGUACAACAAUUCAUGUCCAUUCCAGUGGCCUAGGGCUUUCCUGCCUGUUGAGUUUACAUCUACCAGUUUUACCGUUUUGGGUCCUUUAAUCCAUUUGGAAUUGGUUUUAACUGGUGAGAGGCUCUAACUUCAUGGUUCUUCAGUGGGUAUGCAAGUUUUCCAGCACUGCUUUAUUGAAAAGGCUGUUUUUCUCGGGUGGCUGCAGACAUGUGGGUGUAGACACGUGGGUUCCUCCAAGCUCCCUACGCUGUCGAUCAUGUCUGAGUCUUUCUUAUGCU